CCCUUAGAUGUUCUGGGCCGCACGCGCGCUACACUGAUGCAUUCAACGAGUGUACCUUGGCCGAGAGGCCUGGGCAAUCUUUUGAACGUGCAUCGUGAUAGGGAUAGAUUAUUGCAAUUAUUAAUCUUGAACGAGGAAUUCCUAGUAAACGCAGAUCAUCAAUCUGCAUUGAUUACGUCCCUGCCCUUUGUACACACCGCCCGUCGCAUCUACCGAUUGGAUGGUCCGGUGAAGCCUCGGGAUUGUGGCGGUUGCCUUUAUUGGUGGCCGCCGCGAGAACUUGUCUAAACCUUAUCAUCUAGAGGAAGGUGAANUCGUANCA
rnacentral:rRNA from 1 species